ACGCGAAAGCCCCCUUCGGGGGGCAAGUAGAGUGGCGCACGGGUGAGUAACACGUAGAUAAUCUACCUUUGGAUGGGGAAUAACCACCGGAAACGGUGGCUAAUACCGCAUAAUGCAGCGGCACCUAAUGGUGACAGUUGUUAAAGCGGGGGAUCGUAAGACCUCGCGUCUGAAGAGGAGCCUGCGGCAGAUUAGCUAGUUGGUAGGGUAACGGCUUACCAAGGCGAUGAUCUGUAGCCGGCCUGAGAGGGCGGUCGGCCACACUGACACUGACAUACGGGUCAGACUCCUACGGGAGGCAGCAGUCGGGAAUUUUGGGCAAUGGGCGAAAGCCUGACCCAGCAACGCCGCGUGAAGGAUGAAAUCCCUCGGGAUGUAAACUUCGCAAGAACGGGAAGAAUAAGUAAGAGCUAACAUCUCUUAUGAUGACGGUACUGUUUGUAAGCUCCGGCUAACUCCGUGCCAGCAGCCGCGGUAAUACGGGGGGAGCAAGCGUUG
rnacentral:rRNA from 1 species